UACAGAGGGUGCAAGCGUUAUUCGGAAUUACUGGGCGUAAAGCGCGUGUAGGCGGUUUAGCAAGUUUGAUGUGAAAUCCCUGAGCUCAAAUCAGGAACUGCAUUGAAUACUGCUAGACUAGAGUAUGGGAGGGGGAAACGGAAUUCCUGGUGUAGAGGUGAAAUUCGUAGAUAUCAGGAGGAACAACAGAGGCGAAGGCGGUUUCCUGGACCAUUACUGACGCUGAGACGCGAAAGCGUGGGGAGCAAACAGG
rnacentral:rRNA from 1 species